rnacentral:lncRNA from 1 species
UUACCUCUUUUUCCGAUCUCCCUCUCUUUGUUUGAAUCCGGUCCGGUUCUCCUCCUCUUUUUCCGGUUCGGUUUGCUCCUCUCCUUCCGAUCCGGUUUGCUUUUUGCUCCAAUCUGGUUCCGGUUCGGUUUGCUUCCUCUUCUUUUCGUUCUUUGUUUCAGAUCUGUUUGUACAGUUUAGAUGAUGAUGAUUUGUGUGGUUGUAUGGAUUGAUUUGAGGUUUUGCUUAAGUUUUGUGUUGCUGGAUUUUGAUGAAUCUAUGAAUAUUCUUCAUGAGUUCAUGUUAUUUUCUUUGUAAUUUUAGUGUUUGAUCUGAAAACUGGUUGGGAAAGUAGAAAUUAGGGUUUUGUGAAUUAAUGGCUACUGCUGAAAAUUCUCUGACUCAUGAACAGUAAUUUCGGACCCAUUUCUCAAUGAUUGACAGU